CCUACGGGAGGCAGCAGUGGGGAAUAUUGGACAAUGGGCGAAAGCCUGAUCCAGCCAUGCCGCGUGUGUGAAGAAGGCCUUCGGGUUGUAAAGCACUUUCAGUGGGGAAGAAAGCCUUGGGGCUAAUACCCUCGAGGAAGGACAUCACCCACAGAAGAAGCACCGGCUAACUCCGUGCCAGCAGCCGCGGUAAUACGGAGGGUGCGAGCGUUAAUCGGAAUUACUGGGCGUAAAGCGCGCGUAGGCGGUCUGAUAAGCCGGUUGUGAAAGCCCCGGGCUCAACCUGGGAACGGCAUCCGGAACUGUCAGGCUAGAGUGCAGGAGAGGAAGGUAGAAUUCCCGGUGUAGCGGUGAAAUGCGUAGAGAUCGGGAGGAAUACCAGUGGCGAAGGCGGCCUUCUGGACUGACACUGACGCUGAGGUGCGAUAGCGUGGGUAGCAAACAGGAUUAGAUACCCCAGUAGUC
rnacentral:rRNA from 1 species